AAUGAAGUUGUGUGUUGUCUACCUGUUAGAUGAGAAGAUAUUUCCGGAGAGAUUGGCCUUAACUUACAAUGGGAGUGACUAACUCAAGCGAUACUAUCUCACAGAUUGGCAGAAUUUGUCAUGGUGUUAAACAGGAAACUGGAAUUUUCUGUGAUACCAAAUGCUUGGUUUGGUCACGUCAACUUCCCCUCGUUAAUUUUUGAAUCUGCUAACACUGUAAUAAAAACAUGGAAAGAACAGCAUUUUGUAAUUAACAUUUAUCACUAAAUUAGCAUAUUAUUCACCCAAUUUUGGUUGAUUUUCACUUAAUUUUGUCUCUUGUAAAACACGCAUUCUCUCUCUCUCUCUCUCUCUCUCUCUCUCUCUCUCUCUCUCUCUCUCUCUCUAUAUAUAUAUAUAAGA